rnacentral:rRNA from 1 species
UACGUAGGUCCCGAGCGUUGUCCGGAUUUAUUGGGCGUAACGCGAGCGCAGGUGGUUUCUUAAGUCUGGUGUAAAAGGCAGUGGCUCAACCAUUGUAUGCAUUGGAAACUGGUAGACUUGAGUGCAGGAGAGGAGAGUGGAAUUCCAUGUGUAGCGGUGAAAUGCGUAGAUAUAUGGAGGAACACCGGUGGCGAAAGCGGCUCUCUGGCCUGUAACUGACACUGAGGCUCGAAAGCGUGGGGAGCAAACAGG